rnacentral:rRNA from 1 species
AUAAUCCUACGGGGGGCAGCAGUAGGGAAUCUUCCACAAUGGGCGAAAGCCUGAUGGAGCAACGCCGCGUGGGUGAAGAAGGUCUUCGGAUCGUAAAACCCUGUUGUUAGAGAAGAAAGUGCGUGAGAGUAACUGUUCACGUUUCGACGGUAUCUAACCAGAAAGCCACGGCUAACUACGUGCCAGCAGCCGCGGUAAUACGUAGGUGGCAAGCGUUAUCCGGAUUUAUUGGGCGUAAAGGGGACGCAGGCGGUCUUUUAAGCCUGAUGUGAAAGCCUUCGGCGUAACCGUGGUAGGGCAUUGGG